GGAUGUGAGGGCGAUCUGGCUGCGACAUCUGUCACCCCAUUGAUCGCCAGGGUUGAUUGGACUGAUCUGGCUGGCUAGGCGGGUGUCCCCUUCCUCCCUCACCGCUCCAUGUGCGUCCCUCCCGAAGCUGCAUGCUCGGUUGAAGAGGACAGCCUUCCCCGAAUAGAGACAGACAGGUCUAAAGUCGAGGGUAUAUGAAUAGCUGAGCUCCCCUGCUAGAACCUCCAAGCAAGCUUUCCAUUAUCUAUGGGAGGGUGGUGGAUACAGCAUAAUGCUUAUGCAAACCAAUUCUUAU
ensembl:misc_RNA 7SK 7SK RNA